UGUGGAUAGGUAAGGGUCACCCUGCACAAGGUGUGGAUAGGUAAGGGUUACCCUACACAAGGUGUGGAUAGGUAAGGGUCACCCUGCACAAGGUGUGGAUAGGUAAGGGUUACCCUGCACAAGGUGUUGAUAGGUAAGGGUCACCCUGCACAAGGUGUGGAUAGGUAAGGGUUACCCUAUACAAGGUGUGUUGUUAAUGCUGUAGUGUGCCUGCUUCUUAUGUUUACUGAUGUAAAUACAAAAAUAUGCAAACAA